rnacentral:snoRNA from 14 species
AGGUGACACCCUCGGGGAGCACUGGAAGACAUCUUCUGCACAUAUUACAGAAGAGCUCCUAACACUGGAACCAAAAACUGAAAUUCUCUACAACAUAAUAUAGUUACUGACCAGUACUAGGAUUUUCUGAGGAGAUAGAAAA